AAGUCAGCAUGGCCUUUAUGUCCUAGGGCGUACACACACGCUACAAUGGCCAACACAAUAGGUUGCUAAGCCGCGAGGUGGCGCCAAUCCAUAAAGUUGGUCUCAGUUCAGGAUUGUAGGCUGCAACCCGCCUGCAUGAAGAUGGAGUUGCUAGUAACCGCAGGUCAGCUAUACUGCGGUGAAUACGUUCCCGGGGCUU
rnacentral:rRNA from 1 species